UAACGUUUCUUGGUUUUCUGUUUCCUAGUGUUACUAUUUAUCUUUGUGUCCCUGUUUUAGGUUAUCCUGCUCGUGCCUUGUUGUUGCAUGCACUCCUGUUCCUAAUCUUUUUUUGCACUGUUACCUUUAGUGUUUGUUACUGUUUCCCAGUUCUAGUGCUUGUUAAUUGUAAUCCACCCCACCUGUUCCUUGUUGACUCAAGUCCUUUUGAGUGGUUAAUUUAAUAAUGAUUUACACCUGUCCCUUGUUUGCCCUAACUCUCUGUGUAUUUAAGUGAGUGCCUUUACUCUGUUAGUUAUUGUGUUACUCUGUGUUUGUUACUCUGUUCCAUUGCAUAGUCCUGCUCUCUAUGUUACUCUGUUCCCUUGCUGUGUUACCUUAUUGUUCUUGAAGUUGCCACGUUGGUGGGGAGAAGCAUAACCCAGCAGCUGAUGUGGCUAUACCCCUAAACAAGGCAUUUAUUUAGCAGAGGUGGGCCGUGCACGGGCAGGGGCUGAGAUGCAGCAGACCUCACCUCCCAGAAUCCUGCUGCACCCCUCCCCCCCCUGCAGGGAGCCCUGGAAACACCAGUGAAGGCCAUGGGGAGGAAAUGCUGGCUCAGACUCGGGCUCCCAGGCAGGAGCGGGCAGGCAGUUACCCUCAAUUGGCUGAUGAGGUGAACAACAACUGACAAGCCCAGGAAAAUUUAGGACAUGCUGUUUACUCAUCUGGACAAUUUAAACUUUGCUGAUGACCACAAAUAUCACAAUAAAAAAAUAAGACAAGCCUGUUGGACAGCUUGAUAAUUAGUCAUUUAACUGGGUGAAUAACCCAAAUAAUGUGUAUAAAUACCAUUGACCUGGCUGAACAAAAAGGAUCAAGUGCAUCUACAACCCCUGGCAAAAAAUAUGGAAUCACUACUCUUGCAGGAUGUUCAGUCAGUUGUUUUACUUUAUAGUUCAAAAAACAAAUCAGAUAUGACACAAAACCAUUUUACCUAACAACUGAAUGUUCUGGAUUUGUAAAAUGUACCUCCAAAAAAUAAAAUGACAUUGUUGCAAUUAAUGGCACAUCUUUUUUCAGAUCAAGUAGAGGAAAAAAUAUCGAAUGGAGCAAAAAAAAGUUUGUACUAGUACUUUGUUGCACCUCCUCUGGCUUUUAUGAUAGUUUGAAUUCUUUGAGGCAUGGACUUCACUAAUGAAAAACAAUAUUCUGCAUAAAUCAGGUUCCAACAUUCUCAUAUACAGUAGCAGU